GAGUUUGAUCAUGGCUCAGGAUGAACGCUAGCGGCAGGCCUAACACAUGCAAGUCGAGGGGUAACAGGGAAGAGCUUGCUCUUUCGCUGACGACCGGCGCACGGGUGCGUAACGCGUAUACAACCUACCUUUUGGAGGGGAAUAGCCCAGGGAAACUUGGAUUAAUGCCCCAUAGUAUGGGAAUAUCUCCUGAUAUUUUCAUUAAACAUUUAUGGCCAUUAGAUGGGUAUGCGUCCUAUUAGUUAGUUGGUAAGGUAACGGCUUACCAAGGCAGCGAUAGGUAGGGGUCCUGAGAGGGAGAUCCCCCACACUGGUACUGAGACACGGACCAGACUCCUACGGGAGGCAGCAGUGAGGAAUAUUGGACAAUGGGCGAGAGCCUGAUCCAGCCAUGCCGCGUGCAGGAAGACUGCCCUAUGGGUUGUAAACUGCUUUUACAGAGGAAGAACCACUCCCACGUGUGGGAGUUUGACGGUACUCUGCGAAUAAGGAUCGGCUAACUCCGUGCCAGCAGCCGCGGUAAUACGGAGGAUCCAAGCGUUAUCCGGAAUCAUUGGGUUUAAAGGGUCCGUAGGCGGGCAGUUAAGUCAGUGGUGAAAGUCUUCCGCUCAACGGGAGAACUGCCAUUGAUACUGAUUGUCUUGAGUUAUUAUGAAGUGGUUAGAAUGAGUAGUGUAGCGGUGAAAUGCAUAGAUAUUACUCAGAAUACCGAUUGCGAAGGCAGAUCACUAAUAAUAUACUGACGCUGAUGGACGAAAGCGUAGGUAGCGAACAGGAUUAGAUACCCUGGUAGUCUACGCCGUAAACGAUGGUUACUAGCUGUUCGGCCCGAUUAAGGGCUGAGUGGUUAAGCGAAAGUGA
rnacentral:rRNA from 1 species